UACGAAGGGGGCUAGCGUUGCUCGGAAUCACUGGGCGUAAAGCGCACGUAGGCGGCUUUCUAAGUCGGGGGUGAAAUCCUGGAGCUCAACUCCAGAACUGCCUUCGAUACUGGAGAGCUCGAGUCCGGGAGAGGUGAGUGGAACUGCGAGUGUAGGGGUGAAAUUCGUAGAUAUUCGCAAGAACACCAGUGGCGAAGGCGGCUCACUGGCCCGGUACUGACGCUGAGGUGCGAAAGCGUGGGGAGCAAACAGG
rnacentral:rRNA from 1 species